UUCGUAGGGCUCUAUCUCGACGGCACCGCCCUCGUCGCCUCACUCUCGCUCCGAUUACGCUGUUGUUUCAAUCCCUACCCAUCUUCCCCAUUCGAUCUUUCUCUUUACUUGUUGUUGAUGUAUCUAUUAGUUGAUCGAUUGCUGCUUUCCGUGUUGUUACUUGAAUGAAUCCCAAGUUCUAUUGUCUGUAGCCAUAUGCAACAUGGAUCAUAACAGUAGAACAUUUGCCCCUAUUUGAUGGCCUUUGGUUUGGUUACAUGUUCCAAGGGCUUGCUUUUGCUGAAAAUUAUACAUCUUUUAUAUAUGAGAUCCUCUGUAUUAUGCUUUUGGACAUGGAAAAGGAAAUUGGUUGGGCAUGAUUUUGUGUUUGGUUGCCCAAUAAACCUAUGAGCUUCAGUUGGAAGAGCUUGGUCUGUCAAAAUCAUAUGCAAGGAAGGCAGAAGAAAACUGUGAUGAGUUUGAAAUUGUCUGAGCAUAUAAAUAAAGAAAGAGAAGCAGCAAAACGGGUGAAUCAACCAUAACACUUGGAAAAAUGCUUGUCUACAUGCUUGAUUAAUUUGUUCUUGGGUUUCUUCGGUGGGGUAUACUUAGAAAAAGAGAUAUUUCUCGUGUGUAUGUGCACAGGUGUGGAUGUGUGCAUGUCUGUCUUGUCUGCCCAUGAAUCAGGUAGGUUGUUGCUAUAUCAUCAUGCAAGAUCUAACUUGGAUUUUGUUUUGCAGUGAAAAUUUCGGAAAGAAAACUGAUAAAGAAGUACAACAAACUUGUACCUUGGCGUUUGCCCUAAAAUCUUGCAGUUUUCUUAAUUGCCUGCUUCAUUCUUCUCAAGUUCAUCACAGGCUGCUGGAAAGCUCGAAUCAUGCUUUGAAAAGAGGUGGAGACAAAAACACGACUAGAAAAUGUCACUGCAUGCCCCAUCAGAGAUCUGCCAAUAGUGCACAAGAACAAGGAUUUGUGGUUUUGCUCCAAAACAAAUGUCUCUGUUUAUUUCCCUGUCAACUGAAGAACAAAUGAAUUCUCCUCCUGUCAACUGAUGAAACAUUUUGGCUACAUGCUCUUGUGUUCAGCAAGCCUGAACUAGUGGAAGUUAUGAUCAAAGAAUAUUUGGUCAACUUGAUCA